rnacentral:rRNA from 2 species
CUGCGGCCUAUCAGCUUGUUGGUGAGGUAAUGGCCCACCAAGGCGAUUACAGGUACGGGCUCUGAGAGGAGAAGCCCGGAGAUGGGUACUGAGACACGGACCCAGGCCCUAUGGGGCGCAGCAGGCGAGAAAACUUUGCAAUGUGCGAAAGCACGACAAGGUUAAUCCGAGUGAUUUCUGCUAAAGAAAUCUUUUGCAAGUCGUAAAACCACUAGUGAAUAAGGGGUGGGCAAGUUCUGGUGUCAGCCGCCGCGGUAAAACCAGCACCUCAAGUGGUCAGGAGGAUUAUUGGGCCUAAAGCAUCCGUAGCCGGCUCUGUAAGUUUUCGGUUAAAUCCAUACGCUCAACGUAUGGGCUGUCGAAAAUACUGUAGAGCUAGGGAGUGGGAGAGGUAGACGGUACUCGGUAGGAAGGGGUAAAAUCCUUUGAUCUAUCGAUGACCACCUGUGGCGAAGGCGGUCUACCAGAACACGU